UACAGGGGGAGCAAGCGUUAUCCGGAAUGAUUGGGCGUAAAGCAUUCGUAGGUGGUAGGUGAAGUCUACUGUCAAAUACCAGGGCUCAACCUUGGACAGGCAGUGGAGUACUCAUUUACUAGAGCGUGGUAGAGGUAGAGGGAAUUCCCCCGUGGAGCGGUGAAAUGCGUAGAGAUGGGGAAGAACACCGGUGGCGAAGGCGGCCUGCUGGGCAGUAGCUGACACUGAGGCGCGACAGCGUGGGGAGCAAACAGG
rnacentral:rRNA from 1 species